GAUGAACGCUGGCGGCGCGCCUAACACAUGCAAGUCGAACGGAUAAAGCACCUUUUGGGUGUGUAUAAGGGGGCGAAAGGCUGAGUAAACCGUUGGCUACCUUCCCCUCUCUUGUGGAAUGCCUCCGGAAACCGAGGACAAUACCCGAAACUUCGAUGUGGCCGCAUGACGAGGUUUGGAAAGCUUUUGCGGGUAGGGAUGGGCCCGCGGCCUGUCAGCUUGUUGGUGGGGUAGAGGCCUACCAAGGCAAUGAAGGGUAGCUGGGUUGAGAGGCUGACCAGCCAGCUUGGGACCGAGACACGGCCCAGACUCCUACGGGGGGCAGCCGUGGGGAAUCUUGCACCAUGGGCGAGAGGCCGAAGCAGCGACGCCGCGGGCGGGACGAACGGCUUCGGGGUGUAAACCGGUUUUAGCAGGGACGGAGGGGUAAGUGACGGUACCUGCAGAAGAAGCCCCGGCUAGCUACGUG
rnacentral:rRNA from 1 species